CCGCAUUCUUUCGUCAUUCAAACUCAUAGCGCCGACAAGGGUGAGUGGUUCACGCGUGACAGAAUCAAUGAGCUUAAUUCAACAUACCGCAGACCAGAUAAAAAAUUGGAAGGAGUGAGGAAGUUGUGACACUUUUCAACCAUCCAUCAUCAAUUAAGAGGCAGGUUAUGUUGUAGGAAAUGGAAGCAAUGGAUAACCCAUUGACACGUUCCGGAAUAAUCUGUAUAAUAAUGUAAUAAUAUGCUAAAACGUAGACAAGGAUAAGAUCUUUGCGCAAAAAGGUUUAUUUACCGACAAAAAAGGCGCUAGAAUGACGCUCGUUCCAAAAACCAGGAAAAACGACACAAACCAAAAACGCUUGCAAAAGGCAAGGACAAAUGCAAAGUUGCUUGUCAUGAAAAGACGAGAAAACCCAGAACACAAAUAAUACAAGCCGAGAAAAAGAGGGAAACACAUACUACUUACUAUUAGCUAAUCCAAAAAACGUGGCGAAACUAAUACGUGGCAAGAACAAAAUUCGAACACUUUAAGACAGAAUCAUGAGCAGGGCGAAUAAUCCGACCAAGAGUAGACAACUUGGCAGUCCUUAUGUACUCGGGUGAUUGUGAUGCGUGACACGUGCACCGCUGGAGGCAACCACCCUCCAUUCCAGCCGACACUGAAAACCAAAACAAGCAAAAUCAUGACACCCAUCGCCAAAGAAUGCUUUCAUCAAACCUUGCGACCACUCGUUCUACAAACUAAGUCAGUUGGGAUCUGACCCAAAGCGGCAAGGUCAGACCACUUUCAGAGGCAAGCCAGACCAAAACAUGUUUGACCAUCGACUGAAUUUGACUCUAAAUAGACAUGGAUUUACCAGAAACGUCAUCAUCAUAUCAUUUGAGAAAAAGGUCAACAAACACAUCGGCCAACUUGCUUCAGCUGAAGAAUAGUUUCUUUUCAUCUGACAGAUUGGACGUAUUAAGUCUUCAGUCAGGGUCUCAGACCAGAUCUUAUGUGUCAAAUAACCAUCGACAUUAAUGUUCACAUCUAUGGACAAUUUAGAGUCUCGAAUUAAAAUAUCAUGCACGUCUUUGGAAUGUGGUACAAAGCCGUAGUAUGUGGCGAAAACUCAUGCAACCACGAGGGAGAACAUGAGACCAGGUCACACAAAAUCGUGCCUUUUCCUAAAUGGACCGUAUUCGGGUUUCUGGACAAAAUAGUCUCAUACUCUUCAGGUCUACAGUACUGCUGUUUUAUUUUUGAUUAAAUCUGUUUUUUUUUUUAUUUAAUCGUGGACAUGGACUUGGCAUCCCAGCCAAGACACGGUCAUGCCAAGCAAUCGGAGGAAUUGAAAAUGUCUAUCAAAAAUCUCCUCAGAAUGCAGUUAUUAAACAAAGCAGUGAGACAAAUUAGGUAGAGCAUGAUGAGAUUAGCCCAUCAAAGAAGUUUUGUUUUCCAUCUUUUUUUGUCGCUAUUACUGCAGGAGUACAAUACGGGCCAACAGCGUUCUCCGUUCCUCCGCUGUCAGAAUAAUUACACAAAAGUAGCUUCCUCCAAGGAGAAGUGUCUUCGGAGGCCAGCGGAAAAAGUGUGUCACAGAACCUCAAGUCAUUCAAAACAAAAUGUUCUGGACAGUUGCGCGUCGCCUUCUGCCCACUACUGGCCAUGCUGAAGGUCUGCGGUCUAUCUUGCUUAUAUCAAAAAACACACAAAAGAACCUAUCAAACUUCUUUGGAACUGCCGCUCUAACAGGAUAUCACGCUGGAGUGAAUAUCUUACCUGCGACCCUCCGUCCGCAGUGUCAGGCGAGCCAUCCUGGCGACCCAGUUCCUGUAGCCCGGGUAUGGCCGAGGACCCCGGUGACACUGUAGCUGUGUUCGGCACACACGCCACAGUGGGAUUACAGUGCGGUUAAUCACUGGACGUAUUGCCGGGGAGCAGGAGGAUGACAUAUUCCACAGAUGACAUGAAAUACUGUAUUAUUAAAGAGUGACUGUUAGAAAUUAAAAAGGGAUUGAGGGUGAACAUUAGUACCGCUUACUGCUGUGAAGACUAAUUCACAUUGAAAGAUUGAUGAACAACUCUUUAAAGAGAUUGUUUCUUUGCUUCAGUCUGCAUUUUCUCGCUGGCUUGGCAGCAUGAUCGGAAGACCACAGAAAGUAUGGAAGAGGCUAAGCGCUAAUUUAGCACCACUACAAAGUAAAGAUCCCUAGCAUGCUAGCUAGUGGCGAUGUCGGCGUAAAGAAACGCGACGCGCAUGGGCACAAACUGUUUUCCAACUUUUUUGUGUCAGCUGUGAUGAACUCGCACAUGUUCAAACUGAGCUUACGAAAACUUUGAGAGCUGUUUACAAAUGGUUGCAUUUUUGGGCACGGAAUAGGAACAAAAAGGCCAAACCAUUGCAAUUUUUAUCCAUUUUUCCGGAAAUACCGUCAACGCUUAGCUUUACCUCAAACUCUGGAGGAUAUAUUAACUUUAGGCAAAAUGGGAUAAAAUUGUUCCCUGAUGAGAAAUUUGAAUAUUCCCUUAUCACUUCCUCAUAGCAGUGCUAAUGCUCGUGCUAGUUUCCACACCUACAACCCAUGUGGUGCCUCGCAGAGGUGAGGUUGAGUGUGAGAGUUAUCAAAACAGGAAGUGGUGCAAUUGUUGUCUCAGCAAAAAUUGAGCGGAAGAAUGGGAUUUCUGUACGGAACACAAACCAGCUGGCAGGAAACCACUUUUUUUUUUUUCGUAUCAUUCUUCAAGCUUUGAUUUCCUAUCAUGGGAAGUGUCCUCACACUGCUUUCCUUGGCUUGCUGUCUCCAAACUCGUCUCAGGCCUUCAAACCGUUGCCUCCCUUUUUGUGCGUGCGCGCGAAUCAAUUGUGCACCACGCCAUGACAGGGAAUCAUCCAAACUGCCUGCCACGGCAUAUAACGGCAGCGAUGUAGAACUGGCCCAGGGGCCUGGAGAGAUCAUGGGUGGAAAAUGCGAGGCACUCUCUCAUGACAGUGUUGAAAGAUUGUUUAUCGACAGGGCUCACAAAAAGCAAAGGGGAGCACGAAUAAAAGACAAGGCGAGAGAAAACAGCUGGCGAACGAGAAUGUAAAUAAUUUCCCACUUGAUGGGUGACGGGAGUUGAUUAAAUAAUAAUUGCGCGAGCCAAUCAACAUACGGAGGCUCUGUGAUCCUCCCACCCCUCUUCGCCCAGCGGGAUGCCGCUAUUGUGCACUUUUGAAAAAGUUGAUGGAGAGCUGUUUUGAUCAAUUGAGAUCUGGUUUCCAGAACACAAAAGGAAGCCUUUUACAAGUCACAGUUUUUACCUGUAAAUGGAUAACAACGGUGGCUGUUUAUGCUUUCACAUGGAAUCUCACACUCAGAUACUGAGAUCCGUGACAUGAGGUAGUAUAUGGUGGGACAUAUACAGAACAUGUCCGACAGCGACAUUUGCUUUCACAACAAAGCUGAAGUCAAUUUAUGGUGUUAAAUGUCAUAUCCCAGUCGGAUUUCCGCUUUCCCUUUUCACACGGGGCACUGUCCUUGCUUCUCUUAGGCCUCUGCAAAGCCGUAUCAUCCUCGUUCCAUUCUGAAGCAAUAGUUUUGUUUUUUUUCCACAGGCAGUAUGAAGUGCAAAUUAUGAUAUCGCAAAACUUGAAGCAUGCGAGUUGAGUGUCACAUCUAAGAGAACUGUAGCGUCGGUGCUUAGAAGACUUCUCCAAGAAAGUGGACAGUUUCUGCACUGCUAAUGUGUCCAGUGAAGUCGUAUAUUACAAUUAGCCAAGUCAAAUUCUAAACCAAAUAAAUCAAAAACAAAACACUUUCUAAAAGACAGUUUUAAGAACACAGCCAGACGGUUUGGAUGUGCAAAAGGUUUCUUUUACAAAGGACCACCGACGACAGCUGGCUCUGCAUGUGUGAAUGAGGAUUGUUUUGAUAACGCCGGCAUCUUACUGGAAACUCUUUGAGCCUAUUUUAAUUGGUCAUUCCGGUGCAAACAGAUGUAGAAAGAAGCACAUGUGAACAUUGUACAACAUUUUAGAUUGGGAUGUUGUUGAGUUUCAGGUUAUGCUAUGAAUUCUGCAGGUACUGGGAGAGAUCUCACGAAGAGGUAUGCGAUGAUUUAGUCACUGGACUCGCUGAACACUGAAACAAAUUCUGAGUCAUUCCCCAUUCUAUCCAAAUUCUGUGAAAAACUCUAACCAAAUGAAAUCUGGUAUGCCCAACUGCACUGUUGUUUUCACAAAAAAACAAAUAUAGCAAAGCAAAAGAAUGCAAAGUCAAAAUAGAACACAUUGCCAUAUAAGUAUAGGUUUGUUAAACAAGUUAUACUUCCCUUGUCUUCAACCUAUUUUUGUAUACGUCAACAAGCAGAUUACACAUUACGUUUGAAACAUUCCAAUUUGCAAGCUAUGAUCACAUACAAAUGUUUGUGUUUUUUUUCUCCACCGUUUGUAGUCUGAAGGUCUGUUGUGCAAGGU